rnacentral:rRNA from 1 species
AUUGAACGCUGGCGGCAGGCCUAACACAUGCAAGUCGAACGAGUGGCGGACGGGUGAGUCAUGUCUGGGAAACUGCCCGAUGGAGGGGGAUAACUACUGGAAACGGUAGCUAAUACCGCAUACCAUCGGAUGUGCCCAGAUGGGAUAAGCUUGUAGGUGGGGUAACGGCUCACCUAGGCGACGAUCCCUAGCUGGUCUGAGAGGAUGACCAACCAUAAUGGAACUGAGACACGGUCCAGACUCCUACGUGAGACAGCAGUGGGGAAUAUGGCAGAAUGGGCGCAAGCCUGAUGCAGCCAUGCCGCGGUUAUGAAGAAGGCCUUCGGGUUGUAAAGUACUUUCAGCUGGGAGGCGUUACCCGCAGAAGAAGCACCGGCUAACUCCGUGCCAGCAGACGCGGUAAUAC